GAGGUUGUGGCUCAGUGUUAGAGCACUCAUCUUGCAUAUGUGAAGCACUGGGUUCAAUCCUCAGCACCUCA
rnacentral:tRNA from 1 species